rnacentral:rRNA from 1 species
UACAGAGGGUGCAAGCGUUGCUCGGAAUCAUUGGGCGUAAAGGGUAGGUAGGUGGUCUCAUUUGUCUGGGGUGAAAUCCUUGAGCUUAACUUGGGAAUUGCAUUCGAUACUGGUUAGCUAGAGUGUGGGAGAGGAUGGUAGAAUUCCAGGUGUAGCGGUGAAAUGCGUAGAGAUCUGGAGGAAUACCGAUGGCGAAGGCAGCCAUCUGGCCUAACACUGACGCUGAGGUGCGAAAGCAUGGGGAGCAAACAGG